rnacentral:rRNA from 1 species
UACGAAGGGGGCUAGCGUUGCUCGGAAUUACUGGGCGUAAAGGGCGCGUAGGCGGACAGUUUAGUCAGAGGUGAAAGCCCAGGGCUCAACCUUGGAAUUGCCUUUGAUACUGGCUGUCUUGAGUACGGGAGAGGUGAGUGGAACUCCGAGUGUAGAGGUGAAAUCGUAGAUAUUCGGAAGAACACCAGUGGCGAAGGCGACUCACUGGCCCGUUACUGACGCUGAGGCGCGGAAAAGCGUGGGGGAGCAAACAGG